rnacentral:lncRNA from 1 species
AGUGUUGGUUACUGUUCUGCUUCCUUCUAGAUGCUUCCAGAUGUCAGCUUGGAUGGCUGCAUUCUCCUAGAGACACUCGCCAAAGAACUUAUCUUCAGGUUCCUGGAACUUAUUGCCCCUUCUGUGGACCUUGGCUGCUUGGUGAACCUCAUGGAUUGAACUGCAGUUGCUGAUUCGUGUUCGGUAUUUGCUAGUGGACUGGACUGAGAACAACGAAGAUUGGAAUUGCCCCAAAGAACCAUUUCUAAACAGGUCAGGACCACACUCCAGAAAACUGUCAGGAGCGUGGUCAUCCCUCACAGUCAAGUAUCGGCACCACCAUGCAUUCUUCCACCCCUCUCCAGCCCACAAGGCAGGCUACUGAUGUCUAUUCUAUCAUUAUUGGCGGAGAGCUUGAAAAGAAGUUGUUCUUUUCCUCAAAGAGAAAGAUGAGUCACAGUUAUUUAAUUUAUUAAUUAUGUUUAUUCCUGUGCUACAUAUUUAGAGACUAUGUGACCAGAGCGCUAGGUCCACAACCUCUUGACACCAUCUGUACUGUGUUCAUGGGAGUACUUAUGACUCUGGAGACUUAGCAGCUUGGUGUCUGAUCACCCUAGGUUAACGACUCUUGGAUUACGGAUACCAGUCUCUCUGCAUCCUCAUCUGUCCACGUAGACAGUCAGCCAGGGAGUGGAAGAAUCCAUUCUUAAGUGGCUCGUGGGUCUCUGGUCGGUCUCAACGAAUGUCGAAAGCAGAGCAUCAGUUGAAAAGAAGAACAGCUAGAAGGUCAUUGAACAAGAGAAACAGCACAGUCCGGGGAAACCAGCUCUUGGGCUUGGAGAGGAAACGGAAGAUGAUCCCCUGUCUGUCAAUGGUAUUGAAGACUUGAGCUAAUGCACACCUGGCUACCCACAACUUCCCUUAGAAGAGCUCUUUCUCAUUAAGACUCAUCACUAAGACUUCAAUCGCAGCUGGUAGAGACUUGGGGCCGGAUCUUAUGCAGGUAGAGAUUUCAGAGCCAACUGAGAUCUCUGAGCAUUGAACCCCUGUGCUGGCUCCUAGUAGUUCAGUAAGUGCUAGGCACAUGAAACCUUGGAGCAUCCCAGGACCCCAGUAUAUCAUAGAGUUCUCCAUCUGGGACUUCUUGGUCUUUGGCACCAUAUUUUCUCUAACCUCAUUGCAUUUGAACUUCUGAAAGCUAUCUGUACUUAUAACGUAAGUUCAUAUUGCUAAUGGAGUGAUCUUGAGUCAGGUAAAUGUGUGUUGUCCCAGGAAGAUUCAAAUCCAUAUAGUUCACUUAGGAGGUCAGAAAACACCUGUCUAGGGACAGAAAAGACAAAUGACAAAGUUGUAUUGUCAAUUUACAGCUGUGGUCACUGGAGCUUACUCUCCCAAGAUUCUGGGGGCCAGGGUGAAGCAUAAGAACUUUUUUCAGAAUGGAAUCCCCCAGUCUCAAAUCCUGCUAAAGUGUGUGAGUGUGUGUGUGUACAUGUACAUGUCUUUGUUUAAUACUAGAUCUUACUUGUUGAUA